rnacentral:rRNA from 1 species
UACGUAGGGUGCAAGCGUUAAUCGGAAUUACUGGGCGUAAAGAGCUCGUAGGCGGUGUGUUGCGUCUGCCGUGAAAGUCCGGGGCUUAACCCCGGAUCUGCGGUGGGUACGGGCAGGCUAGAGUGAUGUAGGGGAGACUGGAAUUCCUGGUGUAGCGGUGAAAUGCACAGAUAUCAGGAGGAACACCGAUGGCGAAGGCAGGUCUCUGGGCAUUAACUGACGCUGAGGCACGAAAGCGUGGGGAGCGAACAGG